rnacentral:tRNA from 1 species
GGGCCCGUAGCUCAGCCAGGACCAGAGCAGGGGACUUCUAAUCCUCUGGCCGGAGGUUCAAAUCCUCCCGGGCCUACCA